UAAGCAUUAAUUCCACUUCUUUGCAUAACAUAACUGGUCUUGUGUUAGGAUCUCAAAGACUUCAUGAGACAAGCUGGGGAAGUAACCUUUGCAGAUGCACACAGACCUAAGUUAAAUGAAGGGGUGGUUGAAUUCGCCUCUUACAGUGAUUUAAAGAAUGCUAUUGAAAAGCUUUCUGGUAAAGAAAUUAAUGGAAGGAAAAUCAAACUAAUUGAAGGCAGCAAAAGGCACAGUAGGUCCAGGAGCAGGUCACGGUCUCGUAGCAGAAGCUCAUCCAGGUCUCGUAGCCGUUCCCGUUCCCGCAGCCGCAAGUCUUACAGCAGGUCAAGGAGUAGGAGCCGUAGCAAGUCUCGAUCAGUUAGUAGAUCUCCAGUGCCAGAGAAGAGCCAGAAACGUGGUUCUUCCAGUAGAUCUAAAUCCCCAUCAUCGGUGGAUCGACAGAGGUCUAGAUCGAGGUCGAGAUCUGUUGACAGUGGCAACUGAACUAUAAGUAACUUGCCCUGGGGGCCCUUUUUUAAACCAUACUUGCUAAAACUUGUGGUAAGUAUGUGACUUUCUGUGGGGAAGGGUUUGGAUGGGGAGGGGGGAGGGAUGGGGGAACUUUGUAGAUGUGGACCAUGGUGGGAAGGGUUAUUGAGUAAUUGUAUUAAAUGUUUUUUGAUAACCCUUUUCUUGCUCACAAUUUUUGUGAAUGUCUGAAGUGUAUAGUUUGUGUAUAUUGGCAGAGCUCUUUAUAACUAAAGCAGACAAAUUUUUUUGUACUUGGAAAAAAAAAGUCAUCUGAACACUUAAUUCCCAGAAUAUUCAACUGUGAAUAGCAACUCAGAACAUUAGUUUAAUAUCUCAAAUUAAACUAAUAGCUUUAGGCAUCUAAGAGCUCUACAUGUGCUGUACAUAAAGCUUUCUUUCAGAGGGUAUUUUUUUUGUGCUUUUGAACCAUUGUUUCAGUUAUAGGUCAGCAGAUUAAGUGCUGGUCAGUACUGGUAAUAAAACUUUAUUUUAAAAGCUUUUCAUUUAACAUGACUUGCACUACACUAAGAAAGUGCCCAUUUCACUGCCCUGUGGUAACAGUAUUCUAUAAAGCACCCUAAUUCUCGAUUCUUAAGAAUUAAAUAGCUCAAAUAAAGUAUGAAGAAACA